rnacentral:ribozyme from 14 species
AUAAAUCUUCUUCUUUCUUCUUUACGAUGUAUAAAGUUCCGAGAAAAAGAACGAAAGAAAGAAAAAGACCUUUCGUAAACUCUCUGCGUUUCAAACCACCUUUAAAAACUCUCUUUGAGUUA